rnacentral:misc_RNA from 1 species
GAUGAAGAACGUAGCGAAAUGCGAUAAGUAAUGCGAAUUGCAGAAUUCCAGUGAGUCAUCGAAUCUUUGAACGCACAUUGCGCCCUUUGGUAUUCCGAAGGGCAUGCCUGUUCGAGCGUCAUUAUCACCCCUCAAGCCCUCGGCUUGGUGUUGGACGGUUUGGUGGAGGCCCCCUCGGGGGCUCCUGCCCCUCCCAAAGACAAUGACGGCGGCCUCGUUGGACCCCCGGUACACUGAGUUCUUCACGGGACACGUAUCGGACACCUGGGUUUACGGGACACGGUCUGCCUCCCCUCAGGGAGAAUCUUUCUAAGGUUGACCUCGGAUCAGGUAGGGAUACCCGCUGAACUUAAGCAUAUCAAAAGCGGAGGA